GACGUAGGGGACGAGCGUUGUCCGGAUUUAUUGGGCGUAAAGCGCGCGUAGGCGGCCUGGUAAGUCGGAUGUGAAACCCCGGGGCUCAACCCCGGGCCUGCAUCCGAAACUGCCCGGCUAGAGGUAGGUAGGGGAGAUCGGAAUUCCUGGUGUAGCGGUGAAAUGCGCAGAUAUCAGGAGGAACACCGGUGGCGAAGGCGGAUCUCUGGGCCUUACCUGACGCUCAGGCGCGAAAGCGUGGGGAGCGAACAGG
rnacentral:rRNA from 1 species